rnacentral:rRNA from 1 species
UACAGAGGGUGCGAGCGUUAAUCGGAAUUACUGGGCGUAAAGCGCACGUAGGUGGCGACGUAAGUCGGGUGUGAAAGCCCCGGGCUCAACCUGGGAAUUGCAUUCGAGACUGCAUUGCUGGAGUACGGAAGAGGAAGGCGGAAUUCCCGGUGUAGCGGUGAAAUGCGUAGAGAUCGGGAGGAACAUCUGUGGCGAAGGCGACUGCCUGGACCAGCACUGACACUGAGGCACGAAAGCGUGGGGAGCAAACAGG